rnacentral:tRNA from 1 species
GCCCCCAUAGUGCAGAGGCCUAGCACACCGCUCUUUCACGGCGGCAGCACGGGUUCGAAUCCCGUUGGGGGUA